rnacentral:rRNA from 1 species
GUGGGGAAUAUUGGACAAUGGGGGGAACCCUGAUCCAGCCAUGCCGCGUGUGUGAAGAAGGCCUUUUGGUUGUAAAGCACUUUAAGCGAGGAGGAGGCUACCGAGAUUAAUACUCUUGGAUAGUGGACGUUACUCGCAGAAUAAGCACCGGCUAACUCUGUGCCAGCAGCCGCGGUAAUACAGAGGGUGCAAGCGUUAAUCGGAUUUACUGGGCGUAAAGCGCGCGUAGGUGGCCAAUUAAGUCAAAUGUGAAAUCCCCGAGCUUAACUUGGGAAUUGCAUUCGAUACUGGUUGGCUAGAGUAUGGGAGAGGAUGGUAGAAUUCCAGGUGUAGCGGUGAAAUGCGUAGAGAUCUGGAGGAAUACCGAUGGCGAAUGCAGCCAUCUGGCCUAAUACUGACACUGAGGUGCGAAAGCAUGGGGAGCAAACAGGAUUAGAAACCCGUGUAGUCC